rnacentral:rRNA from 1 species
UACAGAGGGUGCGAGCGUUGUCCGGAAUCACUGGGCGUAAAGGGCGCGUAGGCGGCUUCUUAAGCGUGUGGUGAAAGCGCGGGGCUCAACCCCGCGUCGGCCAUGCGGACUGGGAGGCUGGAGCACGUCAGAGGCAGGCGGAAUUCCGGGUGUAGCGGUGGAAUGCGUGGAGAUCCGGAAGAACACCGGUGGCGAAGGCGGCCUGCUGGGACGUGGCUGACGCUGAGGCGCGACAGCGUGGGGAGCAAACGGG